AAACAAAGGUAAAAACACAGUGCUGGUUGGUAGUCCAGUCGCCGGUAACGGUCAGUAUCCUUCCUCUCCGGGAUGUCCAUCCUUCUGAUAUUU
rnacentral:ncRNA from 1 species